rnacentral:rRNA from 1 species
GACGAACGCUGGCGGCGUGCUUAACACAUGCAAGCCGAACGGAAAGGCCCUGCUUUUGUGGGGUGCUCGAGUGGCGAACGGGUGAGUAACACGUGAGUAACCUGCCCUUGACUUUGGGAUAACUUCAGGAAACUGGGGCUAAUACCGGAUAGGAGCUCCUGCUGCAUGGUGGGGGUUGGAAAGUUUCGGCGGUUGGGGAUGGACUCGCGGCUUAUCAGCUUGUUGGUGGGGUAGUGGCUUACCAAGGCUUUGACGGGUAGCCGGCCUGAGAGGGUGACCGGCCACAUUGGGACUGAGAUACGGCCCAGACUCCUACGGGAGGUAGCAGUGGGGAAUAUUGCACAAUGGGCGGAAGCCUGAUGCAGCAACGCCGCGUGCGGGAUGACGGCCUUCGGGUUGUAAACCGCUUUCGCCUGUGACGAAGCGUGAGUGACGGUAAUGGGUAAAGAAGCACCGGCUAACUACGUG